rnacentral:rRNA from 1 species
UUCAGACCUGAAAUCAGGCGAGGUUACCCGCUGAACUUAAGCAUAU